GCAAGGAUCCCCCCCCCCGACGCAAACCGUAUCCAGGCUCCCCCUCCCACGCCGCCGCUCCAUCCGGACGCACCGCCACAAUCCGCCGCUCCCGGCCGGCCGCCGGCCCUCCAUUCCACGGAUCCGCUGCCCUGCACCCACGACACACCGGAUUUGGGGUCGCCGUCCGUUCCCGCGCCGUCGAAGUCGCCAGCAACGCGCGUCAAGUUUGGGGCCGGACCGGCGGCCGGUGUUCGGCCCGCCCGGCGCGCCAGCUCACGGAUCAGCCACCGUCCGCCCCCAUUCCUUCUCCUUCCCCGGCGCGCGGCCGUCUGCCGCCGUCGAAUCCCUCCCCGGCGUUGAUUUGUUGCAGAUCCAGAGCCGUUAGUUCGGGAGGUUUGGGUCCCGAGAAACAUGGAGAAAAGUUGAGGUAUAAAGCUUUUGAUGGAUGGUGACAACCGACAGGAAUGAUCUUCCAAUGCAGAAUGCGGCGUGCGGGUAUGGUGUGUCUGGGAUCGACUAUGAGGACAAUGAAAAAUCCAUGGGCGCCUGCUGCUGCUUGUGCCGCCUCAUCGAUGUGUGUGUUUUUCACUUUCUAUGAAAAGAAAUAUAGAGCUGGUUUUGAUAUGUACAUGCUAGAAAUUUUAAGAAAUGAUUGUUGCUUACAUGGAUUGUACAGAUAUAUAAGCCUGUUUGAUUGAAAUUAGCUAUAUGUGCAAGUGAUUCAAUUUUUGACGGUAA